rnacentral:pre_miRNA from 1 species
GUGGGUGUGUCAGGCAGGCAGUGCAUUGCUAGCUGGCUGUUAGAACUUUAUCCCAACAGUUGCUAGCUGCACUACCCUCUGCUGCACUCAGA